rnacentral:rRNA from 1 species
GACAAACGCUGGCGGCGUGCUUAACACAUGCAAGUCGAACGGUAAGACCCUUCGGGGUACACGAGUGGCGAACAGGUGAGUAACACGUGGGUGAUCUGCCCUGCACUUCGGGAUAAGCCUGGGAAACUGGGUCUAAUAACGGAUAGGACCACUGCCUGCAUGGGUGGUGGUGGAAAGCUUGUGCGGUGUGGGAUGGGCCCGCGGCCUAUCAGCUUGUUGGUGGGGUGAUGGCCCACCAAGGCGACGACGGGUAGCCGGCCUGAGAGGGUGACCGGCCACACUGGGACUGAGAUACGGCCCAGACUCCUACGGGAGGCAGCAGUGGGGAAUAUUGCACAAUGGGCGCAAGCCUGAUGCAGCGACGCCGCGUGAGGGAUGACGGCCUUCGGGUUGUAAACCUCUUUCAGCACCGACGAAGCGCAAGUGACGGUAGGUGCAGAAGAAGGACCGGCCAACUACGUGCCAGCAGCCGCGGUAA